rnacentral:rRNA from 1 species
UACGUAGGGUCCGAGCGUUGUCCGGAAUUACUGGGCGUAAAGCGCGCGUAGGCGGCUUUGUAAGUUAGAGGUGAAAGCCCGGGGCUCAACCCCGGAAUUGCCUUUAAGACUGCAUCGCUUGAAUCCGGGAGAGGUGAGUGGAAUUCCGAGUGUAGAGGUGAAAUUCGUAGAUAUUCGGAAGAACACCAGUGGCGAAGGCGGCUCACUGGACCGGCAUUGACGCUGAGGUGCGAAAGCGUGGGGAGCAAACAGG